AGAGUUUGAUCCUGGCUCAGGACGAACGCUGGCGGCGUGCUUAACACAUGCAAGUCGAACGGAAUCCAUGGUGUAGCAAUACACCGGAAGAUUCAGUGGCGAACGGGUGAGGAUCACGUGAGAAACGUGCCCCAGACUCUGGGAUAACAAUUGGAAACGAUUGCUAAUACCGGAUGACGUCGGAGAAUCGCAUGAUUCACUGACGAAAGAUAUUUCGGUUUGGGAGCGUCUCGCGGCCUAUCAGCUUGUUGGUGGGGUAAUGGCCUACCAAGGCAACGACGGGUAGCUGGUCUGAGAGGAUGAUCAGCCACACUGGGACUGAGACACGGCCCAGACUCCUACGGGAGGCAGCAGUGGGGAAUCUUGCGCAAUGGGCGAAAGCCUGACGCAGCAACGCCGCGUGCGGGAUGAAGGCCUUCGGGCUGUAAACCGCUUUCAGCAGGAACGAAAAUGACGGUACCUGCAGAAGAAGGAGCGGCCAACUACGUGCCAGCAGCCGCGGUGACACGUAGGCUCCAAGCGUUGUCCGGAUUUAUUGGGCGUAAAGAGCUCGUAGGCGGUUGAGUAAGUCGGGUGUGAAAACUCUGGGCUUAACCCGGAGACGCCAUCCGAUACUGCUCUGACUAGAGUUCAGGAGGGGAGUGGGGAAUUCCUAGUGUAGCGGUGAAAUGCGCAGAUAUUAGGAGGAACACCGGUGGCGAAGGCGCCACUCUGGACUGAAACUGACGCUGAGGAGCGAAAGCAUGGGUAGCAAACAGGAUUAGAUACCCUGGUAGUCCAUGCCGUAAACGGUGGGCACU
rnacentral:rRNA from 1 species